rnacentral:lncRNA from 1 species
GAUUUAGAGAUACCCCCAAAAAAAAUAUGAACUCUUUGAGAUACCCCCAGAUUUAAAAACCAUUAGAGAUACCCCCCAUUUUUUCAUUUGGAGCCGGUCAACCAAGCCAUUGACCUAUAUUUGACCAGUCUUUAUAUCACUUAGACUAAAAUACCCUUCCUUGAUUUUAAUGGUGAUCCUAGUCAGCUACGCACUCACCAAUUAUGCCAUAUCAGCAAAAACACUUCAUUUCACCAAAUCUUAAACUCAGCCACUAACCUUAUGUUAUCCCCACCCAAUAUUAGGAAGAUGUAAUCUGGACCGUCCAAUAUAAUCAAAUUGAAACCCUAGAUCAAUUAGAAACUGAAACCAUAAUUAGAAGAGGGA